rnacentral:rRNA from 1 species
AUUUCUGUUAAUGGACUCCUGGCUUCCGGGACGGGAUUUGGUCGAUCUGGAGAAGGAGCCUGAGAACGGCUACUACAUCUACCGAAGGCAGCAGGCGCGUAAAUUACCCAAUCUUCCAUCUUCGGAGGUGGUGACAAGAUAUAACAACGCAAUUUCAUUGUGAUUGUAGUGAGGGUAUUCCAAACCGAACCACUAGUACGAUUAGAGGGCAAGUCUGGUGCCAGCAGCCGCGGUAAUUCCAGCUCUAAUAGCGUAUAUUAAAGUUGCUGCAGUUAAAAAGCUCGUAGUUGGAUUUCAAGGAUUGUGUACUCUCUCAGAGUAUGCACCCUUCUUUUCUUUUGACUUGUUACUGUGAGAAAAUUAGAGUGUUUAAAGCAUGCUAUUGCAAGAAUACAUUAGCAUGGAAUAACGAAUGUAUCUAGAAUCUUGGUUAAUUCUAGGUUUCGAUUAUAGAGACAGUGGGGGCACAGUACCACCGUCAGAGGGAAAUUCUUGGAUUGUAAAGACUAUCGUAUGCUUUAUCAUCUUGCCAAGGAUGUUUCAUUAUCAGACGAAGAUACGCGAUCCACGACAUCAGAUACUGUCGUAUCCUAUCUAUAACUAUGCGACUAGGAUUGAUGAACAUCACAUUCCAGUACCUAUGAAAAUCAAGUCUUGGGUCUGGGGGAGUAUGUCGCAGACUGAACUUAGAAUCGACGAGGCCCACAGGAUGAGCUGCGCUUAUUGACUCAACGGGACUACAGUCGACUAGUAGA